UAUCAGAAGUGCGAAUGCUGACAUAAGUAACGAUAAAGCGGGUGAAAAGCCCGCUCGCCGGAAGACCAAGGGUUCCUGUCCAACGUUAAUCGGGGCAGGGUGAGUCGACCCCUAAGGCGAGGCCGAAAGGCGUAGUCGAUGGGAAACGGGUUAAUAUUCCCGUACUUGGUGUUACUGCGAAGGGGGGACGGAGAAGGCUAUGUUGGCCGGGCGACGGUUGUCCCGGUUUAAGCGUGUAGGUGUGUGUUCCAGGUAAAUCCGGUUCACUUUAACACUGAGGCGUGAUGACGAGGCACCACGGUGCUGAAGCAACAAAUGCCCUGCUUCCAGGAAAAGCCUCUAAGCAUCAGGUAACAUCAAAUCGUACCCCAAACCGACACAGGUGGUCAGGUAGAGAAUACCAAGGCGCUUGAGAGAACUCGGGUGAAGGAACUAGGCAAAAUGGUGCCGUAACUUCGGGAGAAGGCACGCUGACACGUAGGUGAAGUGAUUUACUCAUGGAGCUGAAGUCAGUCGAAGAUACCAGCUGGCUGCAACUGUUUAUUAAAAACACAGCACUGUGCAAACACGAAAGUGGACGUAUACGGUGUGACGCCUGCCCGGUGCCGGAAGGUUAAUUGAUGGGGUCAGCGCAAGCGAAGCUCCUGAUCGAAGCCCCGGUAAACGGCGGCCGUAACUAUAACGGUCCUAAGGUAGCGAAAUUCCUUGUCGGGUAAGUUCCGACCUGCACGAAUGGCGUAAUGAUGGCCAGGCUGUCUCCACCCGAGACUCAGUGAAAUUGAACUCGCUGUGAAGAUGCAGUGUACCCGCGGCAAGACGGAAAGACCCCGUGAACCUUUACUAUAGCUUGACACUGAACAUUGAGCCUUGAUGUGUAGGAUAGGUGGGAGGCUUUGAAGCGUGGACGCCAGUCUGCGUGGAGCCGACCUUGAAAUACCACCCUUUAAUGUUUGAUGUUCUAACGUGGACCCGUAAUCCGGGUUGCGGACAGUGUCUGGUGGGUAGUUUGACUGGGGCGGUCUCCUCCUAAAGAGUAACGGAGGAGCACGAAGGUUGGCUAAUCCUGGUCGGACAUCAGGAGGUUAGUGCAAUGGCAUAAGCCAGCUUGACUGCGAGCGUGACGGCGCGAGCAGGUGCGAAAGCAGGUCAUAGUGAUCCGGUGGUUCUGAAUGGAAGGGCCAUCGCUCAACGGAUAAAAGGUACUCCGGGGAUAACAGGCUGAUACCGCCCAAGAGUUCAUAUCGACGGCGGUGUUUGGCACCUCGAUGUCGGCUCAUCACAUCCUGGGGCUGAAGUAGGUCCCAAGGGUAUGGCUGUUCGCCAUUUAAAGUGGUACGCGAGCUGGGUUUAGAACGUCGUGAGACAGUUCGGUCCCUAUCUGCCGUGGGCGCUGGAAGACUGAGGGGGGCUGCUCCUAGUACGAGAGGACCGGAGUGGACGCAUCACUGGUGUUCGGGUUGUCAUGCCAAUGGCACUGCCCGGUAGCUAAAUGCGGAAAAGAUAAGUGCUGAAAGCAUCUAAGCACGAAACUUGCCCC
rnacentral:rRNA from 6 species